AAUGUGUUACUCACGUUGGGGAAUCCCCCAGUUCUACCUUCCACUUGUAGCCUAGCUUAGCAGAACUAAUCAGUGAUUUCACUCAUUGCCUGCAGGUUCUCCUGUUCUUUCAUCUGGUGUUUCUUUUCUUUCAUUCUUCCACUAACAAUAAAACACAAGCUGACAAUGCAAAGCCAAGCAACAUGUUACAAGUUGUAACUUUGGAACUUGUGAUUUCACAGAAGAGUGAGACAGGUAGUGUGUUUGGUUUUUGGAUCCAGACUAAAGACGAGUUACUUCCUGUAAUGCAGGCUCAGAGCUGUCUGCAGUCAGUUGUAGUGUUUGCACAGAAGAUAUGAUGCCAUGUAAAGCGUUCCAUCAGUCGGCUCGUGUCAGGACUCUGAAGCGGGCUGACUCUAACAACAAACUGUUAUUUAAACCUGAGACAUAACUUUUGGGAUUGUGUUCCUACAGGAUCGAUGACGAGUGGAUCACAGCUGAGUAACACACAACAUAGGACUCCAUCAAACUGGAUGUGUGAACAAACCUGCCCGAGGAAGACAGCAAGGUGAAAGAGGAGCAGCUGCACAGUGUGAAGUAUAUUUAUGGAGCUUCACCACAGAAUCAAAUGUAGUUAUUGGUAAUUGUUUGCCUGGGACCGACCUGCAGGCUCAGCUUGUAUUAGCUCAGAUCAACUGGUCCUCCUGCUGGAGAGACGAGUGGAAGAUGGAGCAGUUCAUGUCUAGAGAUUUGGUAAUGUUGCUAAAUGCCUUGUGGUGUAAUGAACUUGUAAGCUUGAACAAAGUGCAUCAACCUGUUCACCUUUCAUAAGUUCUCUUGCUGGAGUUCUGAUAUACACUUGUACUUGUUUAAACUUCAUCAGACUUCUUGUUUUUGAUACUCAUCGUCUCAUCUUAAACAUUAUUCUUCAUUUCUACAUUAAACUGCGUAUUAGUGGAAGUACUUUGUGAUUUGAAGAGAACAUUUAGUUCUCAGAGGAGACGACUCCUGAUGAUGUCAUCAAGAGAAAAGGAAUAGAAGGGAUUUUAUUUGUAUCUUUUAUCAUUUAGUUUGUAAGUUUUAUGCAUUAUGAGAACAUUGUGUUAAGAUGUUCCUUUGUUAUGGUUUGUAACUUCAUAAUGUGCUUUCCUUGUGUUUUUAUAUGCACACAUUGUAGAUGUGUUUGUCUCAGGAGUUUCCCACGCGUCCCAGCCGGGCACAGCGAGUGUUAUCAGGAGGUGUUUCAAGUCUCUCUCUCUCAGUGGGGGGCAGAGGACCAGGGCUCAGUCGCAGGUUAUUGGGCUCGUAUACUUUAUGGCACCCAACCAUCUGGGGGUACAGGGCCUGUUGCUCUGUACCAGGGGUCUCCAACUCUUCUUCAUCUGAGAGCGACUUGCAUCACAUCGCUUACAUUUACUCACAGAGCACUCAUCAGGUGAAUUAAAGUACUUUGUGUACACGUGUGAAAUUAAAAUACCCAAAGCUCAUCAACAAUCUUAACUUCACAUCAAGGUCCAAGAAAACGACACUUUGUUCACAUAUUAUUCUUAUUAUGGCCACACAGUAAAUACAUCACCUUCAUCAAUACAAGCAUCUUAUGGCACAUGUACAAUAAGUGCGUUCACUCUUUAGUAAGUUAGUGAGAUGACUGCACUGCAUGGACUCCACCACAGAGGUGUAUGCUGGAGUGUGCACACUUAGGUUCCCUCUAACAGACUCAUUUAAAUGUUCAUCACUCUUGUUCUGGUCGGGUGAAUAAACAGCUGUUUUAAGUGUUGCUUGUAGCUGGUUCACCUUUUCAGUCCGUCGCGUGCAGCAGGAAGCAAAGUUACCACGUUGCUUCUUUAGCCAGCGGACACACUGGUCCCGCAGAUAAG